AGUACUUAGGUGGUGGCGGCCGGCAGGCGGUGGGGGAGACCUUCCGUGAACUGGCCUUUGCUCCGCCGAGACGACCACCCCUUAGCCGCAGGGGCGCCCGGUGUUUUUCUGCUUUGAUUUCUGAGGCUACUGACGCCCCGAGCGGAGCCGGCAUCUCCAGACCAGGCCGUGGAGCUGCAGCGAGAAGAAUGUGCCUGCUUUGGCUGUGGAUCGCGAGCGCCCGGGCCGCAAAGAUUCAGGGAGAGGUGGGGACGACACGUCAAAGACAUUAUGAGGAAGAAGAUGAAACUCAAAGGUAAGAUUUAUAAACAUAUGCUCCCUGCUCUUAGAUUAAGUGUCCCUGAAGACUUCAACCUAAAGUGGAUCCCUGUAAGUCAAAAUCCUGAUCUUGCACAUGCUGAUGUCUUCUAUUUGGAUACCAGUGGGAAUUGUUAAGUGACUAUGUAAAUCUGACGACAGUGAAGCACAAGCAUUUAUUUGAGAGUGCUGACUAGGGGGAGGUGCAAAAUGUGAAGUAGUAACAAAUGAAAACUGCCUGUAGACAGAGAGGAAUGACAAGGAUACAUUCAGGCAUGUACUGAAGUCAUAAAAUGUAAGUACACUGUACAAAUAAUACACAUUCUGAGGCCUGGAUUCAAAUCCUAUCAGUGACAAUUAUAAUUGUGUAAUCUAGGUGAAGUCACUUACCCUUUCUGUCUUGUCCCCACAGUGCUACCUUAUGGGGUUGUUGCAAGAAUUAAAUGAAAUGAUAUGUGCAAAUAGUGCCUGGACACAAUGAGCUCAGUAUAAAUGUUAGUCAUUGGUACCACCCCAUCAUUAUUAUUGUUGUUUUGGAGAAUUACAUGAGCAAGGGCAAGAGGGCAUGUAGAAUGUGUAAAGCACCAACAGGGAAGGUCUCCUUGAGACCCGGUGGAAUCUGAGUUGGGCUUUUAAGUAUAGAACUUAUAAUGAUGGAACUAGGCAGUGAUUCUGGGUGUAGGAAAUAGAAUGAAGCAAAGUUCACAGAAAAAAAAAAGUUGGAGAUGUGAGGAAGUCAAGUGGCAGGUAUGAUGUUUUGGGAUGGUAGUGAUAAGGCUAGAAGGGAAAACAAUCUCAGGGUCUGGCAGCUAUUUAGAUGUGGCAAAUGAGGGAGAACGAGGGGACACGUAUAACCUAAAUAUAAGUUGGGCAUCCAAAUGGCUCAGUCUCAAAGCAUCAAUGAACUGAUAAACAGUCUAGCAACCAAAACUAUUUUAAAACCAAUUCAAAAUUUUGCUUGCCAUUCUUCAAGAACAUUAAAAAGCAAAAGUUUUAGGAACAAUUCUUAAAUUUCCCUUUCCUCUCCUAAUUCUUACAUUUCAUCAGCUCUGGUACUUGUCACUCUCUUAACCCUUCACUUUCCAUUUCUUCUGUUCUAAAAUGGACAUGAAGCCCUUGUCUCUUUUCGUUUCCUUUCCUCUUUUCCUCCUUUCCUUCUGCCUCUUCAGUCUUCUCUCUUCUUAUCCAUACCCCUCAUUUUGAAUCAUGAAACCUAGAGACCAUCCUGGAAAAGGCGGGAAUUUCCUUAGAGGUCAGGCUUAGCAAAGCCAUCAAAGAUAAUAUUCUCUUCAUGGUGCGUGGUAGAGGGGUUUAUGUUGUGGCAGAGAGGUUCUAUGUGAACACUCUCAUGUUAAUACAUUUUUAAAUCAUCAAAGAUAAGAGUAAUAUUUUGAGCCUUGGUGAUGGGAUAAUGGGGGAUAUGUCAUUACAGAAAUAGGGAAACCAAGGAAUGGAAGACCUUUGGGGGCAAGAUGUGGAGACUGGAACUGAGCAUGGAUUGGAGCUACAGUAUCAUUCAAGGAAUAAGUAGACAGAAACCUGGACAAAUUGAUUGGGAAUUCAGAUAGAUUUGGGCAUUAUCCCCACAGGAGUGAUAGUUGAAGGUAUAGGAACGAGUGAGAAGAGAAAUACAGAGGACAUAAAGAGAAAGAUGAGAGUUAAGGAUGGAAGUGUGGAAAAUACCUACAUUUCAGGAUAGAAGUUAAUAAGUGAAUUCAGGGAAGAAUAGUCCUGGUGUCUAGGACUCACACAGAUGAAUUCCACCAGAAUCUCUGGAAGUGGGCUUUAUGAAUUAACAUUGUUGACACCUUCCUCAGCAAUUCCAUGUGCAGCCAGGUUGAGAGCCACUGCUCUGGUGGUUAUGUGAUGCUUAAUGGUUUUCAGGGUUGUGGGGGAAAGCAGUUGGUAAGGAAUGAAGUCCUAGUUUUUUGGAUUUAGAAGCCAGAAACUCUACCAUUCUCAUUUUGCUGAGGAACCCAGGGCACCAAGAGACUAACUGUGUGACCUUGAACAAGAAACUGAAUGGCUUCCCACCUCAUGCUUACCUCUCAGUGCCACAGACACACUCCUCUCCCUCAUCCUCACCUGCUCCUCCCCACCACAGCCCAAGUCCUGCCCUGAGACUCCCAAGGCUGGGCAAUCUGCCAAAGGCUCUCCAUUCAGAAAUUUUUUUUUUUUAUUAAAGUGUGGUGGAUUUACAAUGUUGUGCCACUUUCUGCUGCACGGCAAGGCAGAUUUUUUUUUUAACUUUUUAGGAAAAAAGGGUCUUUUUGGCUGUGCCCAUGGCAUGUGGAAGUUCCCGGGCUAGGAAUCGAACCCGCCUGAGCCAUAGCAAUGACAAUGCCAGAUCCUUGACCCUCUGAGCCACCAGGGAAUUCCAAGAUUUUAGAACACCUUUCUGACAGAUUAAAGGCUCACCUGAGGUCUCUUCAGCAGCAGCAGACAAGACCACGCUAUCGGAGGAAACCCAUUAAGAGGGUUUCUCAUAGCUUUGUGAGCCUGGAGAGAAGGUUAACCACUAGAGAAAAUGGCAGGGGGGAUCCUUUAUUUUGGGGUACUGGAGAAGCCCUGGCUUCUAGCACCCUCCCCUCCUCUCAGGCUCUGGCAGCCCCCUCCGUGCUGUUUAUGAAUUGGCGUCGAAGUCUGGGGCUGCCGUGGUAAGGCUGCCAGCGCUGACGAGGACGCAGCAUUUGUGGGAAUUCUGUGACUCCAGAAGGCGAAAGGUCAGUUUCUUUUCAUUGACAGUAUUCUUGCUGCCCAAGGGUUUAUCUCUGGGAAUCUUGACUGGUUUCCAGGGUUAGGCUUCACCUCUAUUGUUAUAUGGAAACACAGGAACAGCCCUGUUGUCGUGCCAGACUGGGUUCGACAUUGGACUCCAUUCCCCACGGCACUGUAGUCCCGCACCCCCCCCCCCCCCCCCCCCCGCCCCAAGUAAAGUCCUGCCGUCUUCCAAAAUAGCUGAAGAGGCUUUUUAAAGAUACACAAACCUGUUCAUGUCUUUCUUUUCUUUCUUUCUUUCUUUCUUUCUUUCUUUCUUUCUUUCUUUCUUUCUUUCUUUCUUUCUUUCUUUCUUUCUUUCUUUCUUUCUUUCUUCCUGGGCUCUACAAAGUCACCCAUGAAUAUGAUCCAACAUUGGAAUGUACCCUGGAGCUUGAGGACACGCCUGACAUCCCCUGAAAACACUUGUCUUUCACUCAUCCUCAUACACUGAAAAGAUGCGCACAUGUAACCCCUGAACUCACACACGACUCCACCAGUUCCUGGUCACACUAAAAAUCCAUUUGAGUUACACAUGUGCUUGCUUACCCCUGGCUCCCACACGCCCACCUGGAGGUGUGUAUACACAGCGCUGAUGUCUGUGAUCACCGCUGCGCUGAAAACACACCUUUAGGUGCCUAAGAAACAAAUGGCAAGAGCGAAGGGAAACAGGACAGCGGAAAGAAUGGCCCUGCUCCAUCCACUUCUGUCCUGAAGCAAAGCAACCUGGAUCUUUUGGGCUAACUUGUGUGCUGGGAACCCAGUGCAGACUUUUACAACAGGCCCUGAUCUGAGUGCAAGCCUCAGAGGAGCAGUCUCCUCCCCAGCCACGUCUGUCUGCUGGGUUCCUCCAGCUGUCUCCAGGGCAGUUCUCCCUAAAUGCAAACUAUUAGCAUUUCCUGUUAAAACAUUUCUAAUAAAUAAAUGAAUACAUCAUCUUCUCAACCCAAAGCAGGUCUGAAAGCAGCCUAGGAGCUCCUCUGAGCUAAGGACGGACAUGGACCACCCAGCACCAGCCCACUGGCCCGGGGCCAGUGCUGCUUUUGUUUGAAUUCCUGUAUGAGUAACUGCUCAAGUUGAUGCCAGCCAAACUCAGUGAAAUAUUAUUUUUAAUAUUAAAUAAAUAGAUGGUGGGGUGUGUUGAUCUUUUUUUUCCCCCAGUAAACUGCAGCAUCACAACAUAGAAACUGGCUCUUGUAUCCAGAUUUCCUCAGAUAGCAGAAGGAAGGUUGACAUUCUCUUUGACCUUCCUCAUGGAACUCUUACCCCCCAGGAGACAGAAAAGUCCCAGUUGGUGUUGACAGGACCCUAUUUGGAGUAAGCUGGGAGUUCAAAUGCUAACAAAACUUGUAUGGGUUCACCAGCCAUUUUUGUUAAUUUUUUCUAACUUAUUGUUUUCUUUCAAUAACAGAAGGCACAUGAACUUUAUAUAAAAAGUAGAAAGCACAGAUAAACAAGAAGCUGCUGAGAUCUUACGACCCAGUAAGAGACAAUUACUCCUAAAUUUUGGUCCCCUUCUUGAAGGUCUGCCAUGCUUUGUGUUAUUCUUCAAAAUCAGUCUUUGACAAUUUGCUGGAUAAAUAAAAGAAAGGAAGAAAAAAAAGAAAGAAAGAAAGAAAAAAAGAACCACCAGCCUUAAACAUUUAACACUAGAGGUGAGCAGUAUAGGAUAGGACUUUUGCACGUCUGCGUCUUUUUCACAACACGUCUUUUGCCAUGUUGGGCACUGAAGGGGACAGACUGAAGAGAGACCAGUGAUGGCUUCGGAAAGGCUCAGAUGAGUGAGAAGAUGCCUUGACAUCAGAGCAUCUCUUGGGCCUGGUGCAUGGUGGAACACACCUUAGGAAAUGCAGUCUGAUGUCAUAGCGGAAAAUGAUCUUCACGCUGUUCAUGGAGACCAAUGCUGGGCUGUCAGGUUGACCAGUAACAUCCCCAAAUUUUCUGCGAUUUUAGCAAGUGUAAGUCGUACUGACUAGCAUAAUACACCCAGGCUUAGAGAAUGGAUUGAUACUAUACUACCCAAAAGGAAAGAAAUUUGACAUUUAGUUAACCUAGUCAAUCCUAUCACAAAUAAGGAGUUGGCCCUUCAUAUGAUGAAAAAUAAGACAUAAGCUGUUAUUACUGAAUUGGUAAAUGCCCCAAAGGAUGAGAACCCUCGUGUUUGAGAUUUUUCUGAAAAACCUCCAGCUUUCAAUAUUCAAUAUUUGCUGCAUUUCUUUCUUUUGUUUUCUUUCUUUCUUUUUUUCGUUUUUUGUUUUUGCUUUUUAGGGCUGCACCCUCGGCAUAUGGGGGUGCCCAGGCUAUGGGUCGAAUCGGAGCUCUAGCUGCUGGCCUACACCACAGCCAGGGCAUUGCUGGAUCCAAGCUGCGUCUGCAACCUACACCACAGCUCACGGCAAUGCCGGAUCCUUAACCUGCUGAGCAAGGCCAGGGAUCGAACCUGCGUCCUCAUGGAUGCUAGUCAGAUUUGUUUCCAAUGAGCCAUGGCAGGAACUCCAUUUCCUUUAACUUCUUGGAGCUUAACAGCCGUGUGAGAAAGGCAGAAGAGACAUCACCUUCCCUUUUACUUAUGGCAAAAGAGAAGCUUAAAGAAGGUGAGUGAUUUUGCAAUUUAUAUGGCUAUAAGGGGUUGGAAUCAGAAAAAGGAGCCAGUUCCCUCCCUCCCUCCCUCUCUCCCUUCCUCCUUCCUUCCUGUUAAAGUUUAUGGCCACACCUGCAGCAUAUGGAAGUUCCUGGGUCAGGGAUCAAAUCAGAGCCCAGAACUGAGACAACGCCAGAUUCCUUUAACCCACUGCGCCAGCCAGGGAUCCAGCCCUCACCUCCACAGCGAUCCGAGGCUCAGAGGGAAGGCCAAUCCAGUGCUCUCUUUGACUCAUACUGGGGUGUAAUCCUGCCAGGAUAGGUAGGACAGGGCCAGGAGAUCAUUUCAAAGACUUGCUGUGAAAGGGCACUUCUCAAAGGUUUUAGGGAAACAUUUUGAUGUAAAAAGUGUACACAGCACAUUAUGAAGUAGAAUGCAGAAUCUGCACGACUUUUUACAAUAAAAUAUGAGAUUUUAGGAGUUCCCAUCGUGGCUCAGUAGUUAACAAAUCCAACUAGGAACCAUGAGGUUGCAGGUUCAAUCCCUAGCCUUGCUCAGUGGGUUAAGGAUCUGGCAUUGCCAUGAGCUGUGGUUAGCUUGCAGACGCAGUUCGGAUCCCGUGUUGCUGUGGCUCUGGUGUAGGCCUGCAGCUACAGCUCCGAUCAGAUCCCUAGCCUGGGAACCUCCAUAUGCCGCAGGAGUGGCUCUAGAAAUGGCA
rnacentral:lncRNA from 1 species